CGUAGGGUCCAAGCGUUAUCCGGAAUCACUGGGCGUAAAGCGUGCGUAGGCGGUCUGUUAAGUGAGAUGUGAAAGCGUGUGGCUCAACCAUAUCAAGCGUGUUUCAUACUGGCAGACUAGAGGGAAGCAGAGGCAAGUGGAAUUGGCAGUGUAGCAGUGAAAUGCGUAGAGAUUGCCAGGAACACCAAUGGCGAAGGCAGCUUGCUGGGCUUUUUCUGACGCUGAGGUACGAAAGCGUGGGGAGCGAACAGGAUUAGAUACCCUGGUAGUCCACGCCGUAAACGAUGCAUACUAGUCGUGUGGGGUAUCGACCCCCUGCGUGACGAAGCUAACGCGUUAAGUAUGCCGCCUGGGAAGUACGGCCGCAAGGCUA
rnacentral:rRNA from 1 species